AAAUGAUGAGGACAAAAAG
rnacentral:sRNA from 1 species